CCUACGGGGUGCAGCAGUGAGGAAUAUUGGUCAAUGGACGGAAGUCUGAACCAGCCAUGCCGCGUGCAGGAAGACGGCUCUAUGAGUUGUAAACUGCUUUUGUACAAGGGUAAACCUGAAUACGUGUAUUCAGAUGAAAGUACUUUACGAAUAAGGAUCGGCUAACUCCGUGCCAGCAGCCGCGGUAAUACGGAGGAUCCAAGCGUUAUCCGGAUUUCUUGGGUUUAAAGGGUGCGUAGGCGGAUUGAUAAGUUAGAGGUGAAAUGUCCGAGCUUAACUCGGGAACUGCCUCUAAUACUGUUGAUCUAGAGAGUAGAUGCGGUAGGCGGAAUGUAUGGUGUAGCGGUGAAAUGCUUAGAGAUCAUACAGAACACCGAUUGCGAAGGCAGCUUACCAAUCUAUAUCUGACGUUGAGGCACGAAAGCGUGGGGAGCAAACAGGAUUAGAUACCCUUGUAGUC
rnacentral:rRNA from 1 species